UACGUAGGGGGCAAGCGUUGUCCGGAAUCAUUGGGCGUAAAGCGCGCGUAGGCGGCCAGCCAAGUCCGGUGUGAAAGUCAAAGGCUCAACCUGUGAAUGCCGCUGGAAACUGUCUGGCUAGAGUCCGGAAGGGGCGAGUGGAAUUCCUGGUGUAGCGGUGAAAUGCGCAGAUAUCAGGAGGAACACCUAUGGCGAAGGCAGCUCGCUGGGACGGUACUGACGCUGAGGCGCGAAAGCGUGGGGAGCGAACAGG
rnacentral:rRNA from 1 species